AUUGAACGCUGGCGGCAUGCUUUACACAUGCAAGUCGAACGGGCUUGGGGGCUUGCUCCCAAGUUAGUGGCGAACGGGUGAGUAAUACAUCGGAACGUACCGUGUAGUGGGGGAUAACGUAGCGAAAGUUACGCUAAUACCGCAUACGACCUACGGAUGAAAGCAGGGGACCUUUCGGGCCUUGUGCUAUACGAGCGGCCGAUGUCUGAUUAGCUAGUUGGUGAGGUAAAGGCUCACCAAGGCGACGAUCAGUAGCGGGUCUGAGAGGAUGAUCCGCCACACUGGGACUGAGACACGGCCCAGACUCCUACGGGAGGCAGCAGUGGGGAAUUUUGGACAAUGGGCGAAAGCCUGAUCCAGCCAUGCCGCGUG
rnacentral:rRNA from 1 species